GACGAACGCUGGCGGCGUGCUUAACACAUGCAAGUCGAACGGUAAGGCCCUUUCGGGGGUACACGAGUGGCGAACGGGUGAGUAACACGUGGGUGAUCUGCCCUGCACUUUGGGAUAAGCCUGGGAAACUGGGUCUAAUACCGAAUAGGACCGCGUUCUGCAUGGGAUGUGGUGGAAAGCUUUUGCGGUGUGGGAUGGGCCCGCGGCCUAUCAGCUUGUUGGUGGGGUGAUGGCCUACCAAGGCGACGACGGGUAGCCGGCCUGAGAGGGUGUCCGGCCACACUGGGACUGAGAUACGGCCCAGACUCCUACGGGAGGCAGCAGUGGGGAAUAUUGCACAAUGGGCGCAAGCCUGAUGCAGCGACGCCGCGUGAGGGAUGACGGCCUUCGGGUUGUAAACCUCUUUCAAUAGGGACGAAGCGCAAGUGACGGUACCUAUAGAAGAAGCACCGGCCAACUACGUGCCAGCCGCCGCCGUAACAC
rnacentral:rRNA from 1 species